UUCUGAUAAAGGCAAAACAUCUGAAAAGGUGUGACGCAAAGCCAUGGGUCUACAGCAGGAAAGACACUGCCAUGAUCGCCAGGUUGCCGGA
rfam:Desulfitobacterium metallireducens DSM 15288, complete genome.